rnacentral:rRNA from 1 species
UACGUAGGGUGCGAGCGUUGUCCGGAAUUACUGGGCGUAAAGAGCUCGUAGGCGGUUUGUCGCGUCGUCCGUGAAAACUUGGGGCUCAACCCCAAGCUUGCGGGCGAUACGGGCAGACGUUGAGUACUGCAGGGGAGACUGGAAUUCCUGGUGUAGCGGUGAAAUGCGCAGAUAUCAGGAGGAACACCGGUGGCGAAGGCGGUUCUCUGGGCAUUACCUGACGCUGAGGAGCGAAAGCGUGGGUAGCAAACAGG